rnacentral:rRNA from 1 species
GACAGAGGUGGCGAGCGUUGUUCGGAUUUACUGGGCGUAAAGGGCGCGUAGGCGGAUCUGCAAGUCAGAGGUGAAAGCCCUGGGCUCAACCCGGGAAUGGCCUUUGAGACUGCAAGUCUUGAGUGCGAGAGAGGGUGGCGGAAUACCCAGUGUAGAGGUGAAAUUCGUAGAUAUUGGGUAGAACACCGGUGGCGAAGGCGGCCACCUGGCUCGCAACUGACGCUGAGGCGCGAAAGCGUGGGGAGCAAACAGG